rnacentral:rRNA from 1 species
AAAUUGAAGAGUUUGAUCAUGGCUCAGAUUGAACGCUGGCGGCAGGCCUAACACAUGCAAGUCGAACGGUAACAGGAAGAAGCUUGCUUCUUUGCUGACGAGUGGCGGACGGGUGAGUAAUGUCUGGGAAACUGCCUGAUGGAGGGGGAUAACUACUGGAAACGGUAGCUAAUACCGCAUAACGUCGCAAGACCAAAGAGGGGGACCUUCGGGCCUCUUGCCAUCGGAUGUGCCCAGAUGGGAUUAGCUUGUUGGUGGGGUAACGGCUCACCAAGGCGACGAUCC